rnacentral:rRNA from 1 species
GACGAACGCUGGCGGCGUGCUUAACACAUGCAAGUCGAACGGAAAGACCCUGCUUUUGUGGGGUGCUCGAGUGGCGAACGGGUGAGUAACACGUGAGUAACCUGCCCUUGACUUUGGGAUAACUUCAGGAAACUGGGGCUAAUACCGGAUAGGAGCUCCUGCUGCAUGGUGGGGGUUGGAAAGUUUCGGCGGGUGGGGAUGGACUCGCGGCUUAUCAGCUUGUUGGUGGGGUAGUGGCUUACCAAGGCUUUGACGGGUAGCCGGCCUGAGAGGGUGACCGGCCACAUUGGGACUGAGAUACGGCCCAGACUCCUACAGGAGGCAGCAGUGGGGAAUAUUGCACAAUGGGCGGAAGCCUGAUGCAGCAACGCCGCGUGCGGGAUGACGGCCUUCGGGUUGUAAACCGCUUUCGCCUGUGACGAAGCGUGAGUGACGGUAAUGGGUAAAGAAGCACCGGCUAACUACGUG